UACGUAGGGUGCGAGCGUUGUCCGGAAUCAUUGGGCGUAAAGAGCGUGUAGGCGGUCCGGUAAGUCGGCUGUGAAAGUCCAGGGCUCAACCCUGGGAUGCCGGUCGAUACUGCCGGACUAGAGUUCGGAAGAGGCGAGUGGAAUUCCUGGUGUAGCGGUGAAAUGCGCAGAUAUCAGGAAGAACACCCGUGGCGAAGGCGGCUCUCUGGGACGGUACUGACGCUGAGACGCGAAAGCGUGGGGAGCGAACAGG
rnacentral:rRNA from 1 species